rnacentral:rRNA from 1 species
GGCAGCAGUAGGGAAUCUUCCGCAAUGGGCGAAAGCCUGACGGAGCAACGCCGCGUGAGUGAUGAAGGUCUUCGGAUCGUAAAACUCUGUUAUCAG